GUAGCCUCUCCCUUGUGGAAUCAGAUAAAAGACCUUGGUUGAAUCCCAAAUGGCAUCCUAUUUGCUACGUAGAGCCCCAUGUCCUGGGGAGAGAGCCCAGCCCUGGAGGUAGCUAUGUCCUGGGGAGAGAGACCAGCCCUGGAGGUAGCUAUGUCCUGGGAAGAGACCAGCCCUGGAGGUAGCUAUGUCCUGGGGAGAGACCAGCCCUGGAGGUAGCUAUGUCCUGGGAAGAGACCAGCCCUGGAGGUAGCUAUGUCCUGGGGAGAGAGACCAGCCCUGGAGGUAGCUAUGUCCUGGGGAGAGCCCAGCCCUGGAGGUAGCUAUGUCCUGGGGAGAGAGACCAGCCCUGGAGGUAGCUAUGUCCUGGGGAGAGAGCCCAGCCCCAGGAGAGAAGAGUGGGGGCAACAGAGAGAGAGAAACAGAGAGAGGAAAAGGGAGAGUAAGAUAGAAAGAAACCACCUAAAAGGAAGCAAUUCCCAAACCUUCCAUAACAAAGCCAUCACCUACAGAG
rnacentral:lncRNA from 1 species